CCUACGGGGUGCAGCAGUGGGGAAUAUUGCACAAUGGGCGAAAGCCUGAUGCAGCAACGCCGCGUGAAGGAAGAAGGGUUUCGGCUCGUAAACUUCUAUCAACAGGGACGAAAGAAAUGACGGUACCUGAAUAAGAAGCCCCGGCUAACUAUGGGCCAGCAGCCGCGGUAAUCCGUAGGGGGCAAGCGUGAUCCGGAAGUACUGGGUGUAAAGGGUGAGUAGGCGGGAUGGUAAGCAAGAUGUGAAGGCCUUGGGCGUAACCGGAGGAGUGCAUUUGGAACUAUCAAGCUAGAGUACAGGAGAGGAAGGAGGAAUGUGUGGUGUAGCGGUGAAAUGCGUAGAUAUUACGAAGAACACCAGUUGCGAAGGCGGCUCUC
rnacentral:rRNA from 1 species